UACGGAGGGUGCAAGCGUUAUCCGGAUUUACUGGGUUUAAAGGGUGUGUAGACGGGCUUUUAAGUCAGUGGUGAAAUCUCCGGGCUCAACCUGGAAACUGCCAUUGAUACUAUUAGUCUUGAAUUUUGUUGAGGUAGGCGGAAUAAGUCAUGUAGCGGUGAAAUGCAUAGAUAUGACUUAGAACACCAAUUGCGAAGGCAGCUUGCUAAACAAAUAUUGACGCUGAGGCACGAAAGCGUGGGGAUCAAACAGG
rnacentral:rRNA from 1 species